UCACUGCAACCUCUGACCCCAGAUUCAAGCAACUCUUCUGCCUCAGCCUCCCAAGUAGCUGGGAUUACAGAGGCUGCUGUGAGCUGAAUUGUGUGCUUCGCAAAAUUUGUAUGUAGACACCCUAACACCCAGUACCUAAGAAUGUGACCAUAUUUGAAGAAAGUGUCAUCAAAGAGCCGGUCCCUCCGCUUGGGGUCCCUGACUUCCCGCAACAAUAAGGAUACAAAGGUGCACACAGAGAAAUGGCCACAUGAGGACACAAGGAGAAGGUGGCCACUUACAAGCCCAGGAGAGAGGCCUCAGGGAAAACACACCCUACUCACACCUUGAUCUUGGACUUCAUCCUCCAGAUGAAGUCCUUCACCCUCCUUCAUCAGUUGGAAGCUUUUGAUUCUGAAUACUCUUCGAAUGCUGGAAGGUACAAAGUUCUUGGGUAUGUCUUCAUCAGCAGUGUGAAACCGAACAAAUACACCCCCCUUCACUGUUUGAAGAAAAAUGGCUGGCUCAAUGGGGUCUUCAAUUCAGUGAAUAUUUUUUAAAUGCCCAGCCCCAACUCACUGACAAGUCAAGAAAGCUGCCACCUUAUGGUGUUCACGAGGCUGCUGUGGGUGUCUCACCUCAUUGCCAGCCACACAGAACUUGAAGCAGGGGUGGCUGCUCCACUUAAAGGUUCGCACAUGUUGGCUAUGUAAUGUGUUGAUUGAAUGUGACUGUCCCCCAAGCACCCAAAAAUGUCUUCUUGACUGACUCCAAGAUGAAGAGAACAACGCUGAGGUCUAUAGGCAUCCAUUUUCAAAAUUUGAGAUUUCUCACUGACCAUUCCUGGACAAGAUGUGUCUUUGUUUUCCUUAACUGAACACCAGGCAAAACUUGUUUUUACAUUCUCUGAAUGGCAGUCCAGCCCAAAGAGGGGUUGUGGUACUCAACUUAGUUAUAAUGAACUAUUAUAUAGAAGUUCUUGUGUCCAUAUCAUCUGGCUCUACUAGAAAAAAAAUUACUAGAAGACAGUAUGGGUGACAAGAAUAGAAAAAAAUGACUACUGAAAAUUAUAGGUACUGGACUAGCACACACAAAUUCUGUGGAUGUAGAGAAAAGACAAAAACCCAAAACCUAAAAAGGAACAAAUUAGACCCCAGGAACUACAGAAAUGGAGGCAUGUUAAUAACUUUUUGUCUUUCUGGAUUAUCCCUAGUGUGGCCCAGAAAAGAGUUGGGGAGUCCUGUUGGGCCAGAAUGAGUAGUAGUAUUAGUCAGACCAAACGGCAGAACAAGACCGGUGGGUUCAGGUUCUCCUAGGAAUUUCAUCCUUCUGUGAUGUAGGCAUGGAAUCCCAGUGAGCAUCCUGCACUCUCAGUGUCCAGCUGCCUGAAGCCACAGUUGUUUUAGAAGAUUGAGAACAAUUGCUUUUUGCUGAGGAGACUUAGCAAUCCACAGCUGAGAACGUGAUGCUUCUGGAUGUGUGAGAUUCAGUGCCCUUCCUCAGCAGGGCAGCACUGAGUGAAUAAUUGUUUUAGGAUCAACCACAUGGAGGCCAAUUUUAUUUUGAAUUUCUCAAAGACAGAAAUGGAAAAGAUUUUUAUACACUUUGAAAUUGAGCAAGCCUGUCAGAAACUUCAGUAAAAAAGUCACAGGAGGAAACCCUCUUAUUCAUCACCAGAAACCACCAAAAUUCUGAUCCAAACUGAGUUCUGCAAUAAAAUGCCUGCUUCCACUACCAGAUGGUAUCUAUAUUGGGACAAAAUUAAAUUUAUUAAUUACUUCUAAAAA